GAUGAACGCUGGCGGCGUGCCUAAUACAUGCCAGUCGAGCGAACGGACGAGAAGCUUGCUUCUCUGAUGUUAGCGGCGGACGGGUGAGUAACACGUGGAUAACCUACCUAUAAGACUGGGAUAACUUCGGGAAACCGGAGCUAAUACCGGAUAAUAUUUUGAACCGCAUGGUUCAAAAGUGAAAGACGGUCUUGCUGUCACUUAUAGAUGGAUCCGCGCUGCAUUAGCUAGUUGGUAAGGUAACGGCUUACCAAGGCAACGAUGCAUAGCCGACCUGAGAGGCUGAUCGCCCACACUGGAACUGAGACACGGUCCAGACUCCUACGGGAGGCAGCAGUAGGGAAUCUUCCGCAAUGGGCGAAAGCCUGACGGAGCAACGCCGCGUGAGUGAUGAAGGUCUUCGGAUCGUAAAACUCUGUUAUUAGGGAAGAACAUAUGUGUAAGUAACUGUGCACAUCUUGACGGUACCUAAUCAGAAAGCCACGGCUAACUACGUG
rnacentral:rRNA from 1 species